AACGAACGCUGGCGGCGCGCCUAAUACAUGCAAGUCGAGCGAGAAGGUGUAGCAAUACACUUGUAAAGCGGCGAACGGGUGAGGAAUGCAUGGGUAACCUACCCUCGAGUGGGGAAUAACUAGCCGAAAGGUUAGCUAAUACCGCAUACGUUUCCGGAACUUCGGUUUCGGAAAGAAAGCAAUACCGUGGGUAUUGCGCUCCUGGAUGGGCUCAUGUCCUAUCAGCUUGUUGGUGAGGUAACGGCUCACCAAGGCUUCGACGGGUAGCUGGUCUGAGAGGACGAUCAGCCACACUGGCACUGCGACACGGGCCAGACUCCUACGGGAGGCAGCAGUAAGGAUAUUGCGCAAUGGACGAAAGUCUGACGCAGCGGCGCCGCGUGGGGGGAUGAAGGUCUUCGGAUUGUAAACCCCUUUCGGGAGGGAAGAUGGAGUGGGUAACCACUUGGACGGUACCUCCAGAAGCAGCCACGGCUAACUUCGUGCCAGCAGCCGCGGUAA
rnacentral:rRNA from 1 species